CCUACGGGCGGCUGCAGUGGGGAAUAUUGGACAAUGGGGGCAACCCUGAUCCAGCCAUGCCGCGUGUGUGAAGAAGGCCCUCGGGUUGUAAAGCACUUUCAGUGAGGAAGAACGCCUGGUGGUUAAUACCCAUCAGGAAAGACAUCACUCACAGAAGAAGCACCGGCUAACUCCGUGCCAGCAGCCGCGGUAAUACGGAGGGUGCGAGCGUUAAUCGGAAUUACUGGGCGUAAAGCGCGCGUAGGUGGCUUGAUAAGCCGGUUGUGAAAGCCCCGGGCUCAACCUGGGAACGGCAUCCGGAACUGUCAAGCUAGAGUGCAGGAGAGGAAGGUAGAAUUCCCGGUGUAGCGGUGAAAUGCGUAGAGCUCGGGAGGAAUACCAGUGGCGAAGGCGGCCUUCUGGACUGACACUGACACUGAGGUGCGAAAGCGUGGGUAGCAAACAGGAUUAGAUACCCCAGUAGUC
rnacentral:rRNA from 1 species